UUGAAAUACCACCCUUUAAUGUUUGAUGUUCUAACGUGGACCCGUGAUCCGGGUUGCGGACAGUGUCUGGUGGGUAGUUUGACUGGGGCGGUCUCCUCCUAAAGAGUAACGGAGGAGCACGAAGGUUGGCUAAUCCUGGUCGGACAUCAGGAGGUUAGUGCAAUGGCAUAAGCCAGCUUGACUGCGAGCGUGACGGCGCGAGCAGGUGCGAAAGCAGGUCAUAGUGAUCCGGUGGUUCUGAAUGGAAGGGCCAUCGCUCAACGGAUAAAAGGUACUCCGGGGAUAACAGGCUGAUACCGCCCAAGAGUUCAUAUCGACGGCGGUGUUUGGCACCUCGAUGUCGGCUCAUCACAUCCUGGGGCUGAAGUAGGUCCCAAGGGUAUGGCUGUUCGCCAUUUAAAGUGGUACGCGAGCUGGGUUUAGAACGUCGUGAGACAGUUCGGUCCCUAUCUGCCGUGGGCGCUGGAGAACUGAGGGGGGCUGCUCCUAGUACGAGAGGACCGGAGUGGACGCAUCACUGGUGUUCGGGUUGUCAUGCCAAUGGCACU
rnacentral:rRNA from 1 species